UACGUAGGGUGCAAGCAUUAUCCGGAGUGACUGGGCGUAAAGAGUUGCGUAGGUGGUUUGUUAAGUAGGUAGUGAAAUCUGACGGCUCAACCGUACAGGCUAUUACCUAAACUGGCAGACUCGAGAAUGGUAGAGGUAACUGGAAUUUCUUGUGUAGGAGUGACAUCCGUAGAUAUAAGAAGGAACACCAAUGGCGUAGGCAGGUUACUGGACCAUUUCUGACACUGAGGCACGAAAGCGUGGGGAGCGAACGGG
rnacentral:rRNA from 1 species